ACAGCAGCCGCCACGGGAACACGGAGGGUGCAAGCGUUAAUCGGAAUUACUGGGCGUAAAGCGCACGCAGGCGGUCUGACGAGUCAGAUGUGAAAUCCCCGGGCUUAACCUGGGAACUGCAUUUGAAACUGUCAGGCUGGAGUCUUGUAGAGGGGUGUGGAAUUCCAGGUGUAGCGGUGAAAUGCGUAGAGAUCUGGAGGAAUACCGGUGGCGAAGGCGGCCCCCUGGACAAAGACUGACGCUCAGGUGCGAAAGCGUGGGGAGCAAACAGGAUUAGAUACCCCGGUAGUCCCUGUCUCUUAUAC
rnacentral:rRNA from 1 species